GAAAGUUGUUUAUACCUACACACACACACAACAAAGAAAAAAAAACCUUAUAUCUCGUCUUUUUUGGUUUUACCAAUUAUUAUGGAAAAUUAGAUAAAGGGAACAACAUUUUUCGAUUGGAUCAAUAUUUCUAUUUUAGAAAAUCGUGAACAAAAAUUAAAAGUAAUGAUAACGGUUACACCGCGCCGCGUCGUAAAUAUUUGUCGUUUACUUAUAAUUUUCUUUCGGAUUUUUACCAAUUUUAUUGAAAACCUCUCGGGAAAUCAAAAAAUGGCCUCUCUAAUGUAUCAACUAGAAAACAUUUUCUUUCAGAAAAGGUUCUACACUCUCUACAUUAGAGCAAGAUUUCUUUUCGAAAAGUUGUUGGAC